AUGUUCCCUUUUAGCAUUUCUUUCCGUUGUUGCUGCACUCCCUUUUGGGCGUUCAUUUCAUGCCCAGGAUCUUGCAAAUUGUGCCUGUGCCGAGCUUGCUUUAGAGUACGUGUUGCGGAGAUGUCGAGGACCUCAAGGUCACCGAUGUUGUGGAGCUGGACGAGGUUUCUGGGCAGUUCAUUGACCGCCUGUUCUUCCUGGAGAAGUUCGGUUGGUGCCGUGGCGGAGGGUUGUCUUGUGGUUUGA
rnacentral:rRNA from 1 species